UCACAGGAUUACCCCAGGUUGCAGUGAGCAGAGGUCUGGAGUGGGGUGGCAUCUAUGCAGGUCUACACGAUGCAUGCUGCAGGACUGGAGGUAGAUUUGGAUACUGGCAUCCUGUCUGGAAGCUUGUGCUGUCAACUGGCUAACUGGCUAACUGAAUUCAGAGUAGAAUAGGUGUAUUUUCAUCAUACAAAGAUGAGCAGUCAUCGAACACCAAUAAGCACUUUCACUGGACUCUCGAAAAGCCACCACAGAAGGGUAGCAUGGGGGAGAGAAUGGUACUUGGAAGGAAGGACGAUGACGGGAGAGCAGAAAGAGGAGGUGAGGAGGCAGCAGGAAGAGUGGAGUUGGGGAAGAGAGGUAGAAAAGCUGUCUGAAGUAUUUCACAGUGUCCUGCUUGACCUUCAAACAGAUCGGAGACCAUCACGUAAUAGAAAGAAGUGGAGAUCCUACUUGUACCCAGAAAUAGCCUAUCCUAUCACAGAGAAAACUGGACACUGGGUUGUGUCCAGACGCAUAGUGUGUCCCUGACAUUUGUGCUUGAAUGCGUGUCGCCACCAAUGUGCUUGGUUGCAUGUGAAAUUUAGCUAGAAGACACCUACUGCAAGAUGAGCUCCUAGAUUCAGUUUUUGGUAGUACUGCAUCACUUCACUGCAUCAGGAAUAGCUUAAGAGGGAUUCCUUUCAUUGUUAUUGUACUUUGCCUGAGGACAGAAAAGUAUUACCUUUCUUCUCCUCCUCCC
rnacentral:lncRNA from 1 species